rnacentral:tRNA from 1 species
ACGGAUGUAGCUCAAUGGUAGAGCUAUGGUCUCCAAAACCAACGACGAGGGUUCGAUUCCUUCCAUCCGUG